AGUGAACGCUGGCGGUAGGCCUAACACAUGCAAGUCGAACGGCAGCACAGUAAGAGCUUGCUCUUACGGGUGGCGAGUGGCGGACGGGUGAGGAAUACAUCGGAAUCUACUUUUUCGUGGGGGAUAACGUAGGGAAACUUACGCUAAUACCGCAUACGACCUACGGGUGAAAGCAGGGGAUCUUCGGACCUUGCGCGAUUGAAUGAGCCGAUGUCGGAUUAGCUAGUUGGCGGGGUAAAGGCCCACCAAGGCGACGAUCCGUAGCUGGUCUGAGAGGAUGAUCAGCCACACUGGAACUGAAACACGGUCCAGUCUCCUACGGGAGGCAGCAGUGGGGAAUAUUGGACAAUGGGCGCAAGCCUGAUCCAGCCAUACCGCGUGGGUGAAGAAGGCCUUCGGGUUGUAAAGCCCUUUUGUUGGGAAAGAAAAGCAGCAGGUUAAUACCCCGCUGUUCUGACGGUACCCAAAGAAUAAGCACCGGCUAACUUCGUG
rnacentral:rRNA from 1 species